AUGGGCUCAGACCCCACGAUAGGGGUCAAGGAACUGGAAACUUUCAAGGAUUUCUAUCGAACCAAAGUGAAAUCUUCUAGAUGGUGGAUAUCGUCAUACGAUGUUGAGCAGUUCAUUGAGCACAUGGCCUCGAACUUAGACCCCGUGUUAUUGCUUCUAGACAAGUAUGGUGUUGCAGUACCACUAUGGAGCAUGAGAUGUGAGAGUUAUCUUUUUCAGCCAAGUGCGGGAUUGUAA